UGGGGAAUUUUGGACAAUGGGCGAAAGCCUGAUCCAGCAAUGCCGCGUGUGUGAAGAAGGCCUUCGGGUUGUAAAGCACUUUUGUCCGGAAAGAAAUCCUUGGCUCUAAUACAGUCGGGGGAUGACGGUACCGGAAGAAUAAGCACCGGCUAACUACGUGCCAGCAGCCGCGGUAAUACGNAGGGUGCAAGCGUUAAUCGGAAUUACUGGGCGUAAAGCGUGCGCAGGCGGUUUGCUAAGACCGAUGUGAAAUCCCCGGGCUCAACCUGGGAACUGCAUUGGUGACUGGCAGGCUAGAGUAUGGCAGAGGGGGGUAGAAUUCCACGUGUAGCAGUGAAAUGCGUAGAGAUGUGGAGGAAUACCGAUGGCGAAAGGCAGCCCCCUGGGCCAAUACUGACGCUCAUGCAGCGAAAGCGUGGGGGAGCAAACAGGAUUAGAUACCCUGGUAGUCCAGCGCCCUAAACGAUGUCAACUAGUUGUU
rnacentral:rRNA from 1 species